AUUGAACGCUGGCGGCAAGCCUUACACAUGCAAGUCGAACGGUAACGGGCCUUCGGGUGCCGACGAGUGGCGAACGGGUGAGUAAUACAUCGGAACGUGCCCGAUCGUGGGGGAUAACGAGGCGAAAGCUUUGCUAAUACCGCAUACGAUCUACGGAUGAAAGCAGGGGACCGCAAGGCCUUGCGCGGACGGAGCGGCCGAUGGCAGAUUAGGUAGUUGGUGGGAUAAAAGCUUACCAAGCCGACGAUCUGUAGCUGGUCUGAGAGGAUGAUCAGCCACACUGGGACUGAGACACGGCCCAGACUCCUACGGGAGGCAGCAGUGGGGAAUUUUGGACAAUGGGCGCAAGCCUGAUCCAGCCAUGCCGCGUGCAGGAUGAAGGCCUUCGGGUUGUAAACUGCUUUUGUACGGAACGAAAAGCCUUCUUUUAAUACAGGAGGGUCAUGACGGUACCGUAAGAAUAAGCACCGGCUAACUACGUG
rnacentral:rRNA from 1 species